CACUAUAUGGGGAGUUAGCGGUGCCCUGUACCUGCAAUCCGCUUUAGCAGGGUAGAAUUCCCGGCCCCGGGGCAGAAGGCGAAUCGCAGGUGUCGGUUGACCGUGCUGACGCCAUGGUCUUGCACAAUGAAGGCGCAUGAACCAUGUCAGGUCCGGAAGGAAGCAGCAUUAAGUGUUGUUCUUCAUGUGUUGCGAGGCAGCCAUGGUUGAGCGGAAGACCGUCGUGC
rnacentral:SRP_RNA from 1 species